GAUGAACGCUGGCGGCGUGCCUAAUACAUGCAAGUCGAGCGAACAGACGAGGAGCUUGCUCCUCUGACGUUAGCGGCGGACGGGUGAGUAACACGUGGAUAACCUACCUAUAAGACUGGGAUAACUUCGGGAAACCGGAGCUAAUACCGGAUAAUAUAUUGAACCGCAUGGUUCAAUAGUGAAAGACGGUUUUGCUGUCACUUAUAGAUGGAUCCGCGCCGCAUUAGCUAGUUGGUAAGGUAACGGCUUACCAAGGCAACGAUGCGUAGCCGACCUGAGAGGGUGAUAGGCCACACUGGAGCUGAAACACGGUCCAGACUCCUACGGGAGGCAGCAGUAGGGAAUCUUCCGCAAUGGGCGAAAGCCUGACGGAGCAACGCCGCGUGAGUGAUGAAGGUCUUCGGAUCGUAAAACUCUGUUAUUAGGGAAGAACAAAUGUGUAAGUAACUAUGCACGUCUUGACGGUACCUAAUCAGAAAGCCACGGCUAACUACGUG
rnacentral:rRNA from 1 species